GAGCGGCGGACGGGGUGAGUAAUGCNUUAGGAAUCUGCCUGUAGUGGGGNGGNNGUUNGGAAACNGACGCUAAUACCGCAUAAGUCNUACGGGAGAAAGCNGGGGACUUUCGGGCCUUNCGCUAUCAGAUGAGCCUAGGUCGGAUUAGCUAGUUGGUGNGGUAAUGGCUCACCAAGGCGACGAUCCGUAACUGGUCUGAGAGGAUGAUCAGUCACACUGGAANUGAGACACGGUCCAGACUCCUACGGGAGGCAGCAGUGGGGAAUAUUGGACAAUGGGCGAAAGCCUGAUCCAGCCAUGCCGCGUGUGUGAAGAAGGUCCUUCGGAUUGUAAAGCACUUUAAUNUGGGAGGAAGGGCAUUUACUUAAUAACCAUGNGUUUUGACGUUACCGACAGAAUAAGCACCGGCUAACUUUGUGCCAGCAGCCGCGGUAAUACAGAGGGUGCAAGCGUUAAUCGGAAUUACUGGGCGUAAAGCGCGCGUAGGUGGUUNGUUAAGUUGGAUGUGAAAUCCCCGGGCUCAACCUGGGAACUGCAUUCGAAACUGUCGANCUAGAGUAUGGUAGAGGGUGGUGGAAUUUCCNGUGUAGCNGUGAAAUGCGUAGAUAUAGGGAGGAACANCAGUGGCGAAGGCGACCNCCUGGACUAAUACUGACACNNAGGUGGGNAAGCGUGGGA
rnacentral:rRNA from 1 species